GACGUAGGGCGCGAGCGUUGUCCGGAUUUAUUGGGCGUAAAGAGCUCGUAGGCGGCUCGUUGCGUCGGCUGUGAAAACCCGCAGCUCAACUGUGGGCUUGCAGCCGAUACGGGCGGGCUGGAGUUCGGUAGGGGAGACUGGAAUUCCUGGUGUAGCGGUGAAAUGCGCAGAUAUCAGGAGGAACACCGGUGGCGAAGGCGGGUCUCUGGGCCGACAUUGACGCUGAGGAGCGAAAGCGUGGGGAGCGAACAGG
rnacentral:rRNA from 1 species